GCAAUCCACCCCACCCAGCACCUCGUCGCUUCUAUCUCUUCACUAGAGGCCCUCCUAGCCACCGCCGUCGUCGCCACCUACGACGGCCGAUCUCGGCCGAUUUCUCGGACCGGGGGCAGCGCCGAGCACCCCACAUGACCCCCUCGCUCUGCUCCUCCAUCUCCUUCAACCAGAUCUGGUGGGCGCGUCCUCCUGCGACCAUGGGUGACCCUCUGCAUCCACUAGGGUUUGGGCAACCACGUUGACGGCGUGGCUCCGGCGUUGCUCCGAUCCGUUGUUGCCCAAGCACCGAAAUUCCAUGGAUGGCAGGGUUGCUACGCUUCCUCCCCUACCCGGAUGCCAUGGAUUGGCUCGAUAUGUUCAUGGACGACGACGCCUAGAGACAAGGGAUGGCGUGGCCUGCCACCACAAAGCCAUAGCAAGGCGGAUGAGGGAGGAGGAGCCCACCGUCAGAGGGGAGACAGGAGCGGUCAGAAACAGUCCUUUCCUUCGAGCACCAAGACGGGUCUACGAUGCAUGUUGGGUUGGAACUCAGGUCGAUGGCGCGGCCAUGAACACGACCUCCUCAACUUCCAUAGCAACCGCGUCGGCAGGGGAGUAACUGCUACCUGAACCUUUGCCUCUCCUCUUUUACUUAAAAGUUUUUAUUUUAGUUCCUGAUUUCUAUGCAUGGCACCUUGUUGUGAUUAAUUAGGUCAGUUUAGUUCCGGAUUUCGGAUGCUAUUGUUGUUGCAUAAUUAACCCUGAAUAUUUUUUCAUCUCAUAUGCUUCCAUGGCAUACCUAGCCUACCUCCUCGAGUAGUAGCAUAAACCAGGGUAUUUGGACAACCAACAAACAACAGCGAAAGUAGCACCAACUCUGUUUCUAUUCUACUGGAUACUCACGAAUGUAAAGCAUUUUGUGGCAGCCCUAUAUACAUUAAUACUAGUUUGGUAAAACCUAAUUUAUAUUGCAUCUUUGUUGACUUGUGGCUGCUUGAUGAAUAAUGUAGGAGUACUACAUAAUGCAGGUGUUCUUAUUGUGCAAACUAUGAAACAGUGUUAUGAAAAAUACCGCGAAUCUGGAUGUAUGAUGUAAAUACCACGAAUGUGGAUGUGUAAUAUAUGUACUGUGCCUGUAACUAAUUAUUUUAAAAUAGUGAAUGUUCUAUUCUUUUAUAAGGAUAAACCACACCAUUUUGUUUACCUUGUAUUGUUUCUCACCGGAGUAAGGAUCUAUGGUUGUGUGUGUAGGGAGGGUGAUUUAGAUCUCGGAGCACAUCAACUACGAGCUUUCCAGAUGUGACGACAAGUACCGCAUGUUCACAUGUGCACUGAUCCAACCUGGCAACCCUCCAUUUUCUCUCCUGUGAUUGAUAUCCACCAAAAUAGGAGAAGAUUUUAUUUUUUGCUUAGUCUCCUUGCACAUAAGCUUUGGGCACCUAUUAAUGCUACAAGUUUAAGUAAUCUGACGAGCCCUUCAUGAAUUGUAUGCAACUGUUGGCCUAGUUUGUUAUACCGGGAUUGAACUAUAGUCAUGAUGCCAACACAUUCUUCUUUUUCUUCUGAUGCAAUCGUUAGCUGGAUGCAGGAGAUGGAACCAACACACAUAGCACAUCAGCUUGUUCUUUCCCUAUUUAAAACCAUUGAUGAUCAGGAUAUUGUACACUAUCUAUUUGGAUUUUUUUCAAUCAGUAUUGCUAAUACCUCCUUGGGUCCAUUUGCUUUCUGUCGUAGACACAUGUAUGAACACUUCCUAGGUCAGCUUUCUAAGCCUUACCAUAAUUUUCUUCUUGCACGUGGCAAUGGCAAGAGUGGCAUAUUGUGUAGAGGAAGAGGAUGAGAAGAAACUUGUGCUUCUCAUCAAAUCUUUGUAGAACUCUCUUGAUGUGCGAUUGUGCACUUGUUGGGUCCUUUUUUGCGCACUUGCAUUUGUAGAAGUAUUCUGUUGUGCACUUGUAAAAUUAUUUUGAUGUGCACUUGUUAGGACUUGAACCUUGACGUGUACAAGAGUCGAUGGAUGAUGUAUUGUAUUUCAUGUGAUGUGCUACUGAAAUGAAAUAUACAUUUUAUCUGCAAUCUUUAA